UUGGGAGUAAACAGUCAAAUAAAAACUGAUUUGUUGGAGGCUGGGAAACUUUCAAUAACAUGAAUCAAGUUUUGUUGUGGACUACCAUUGUAGAUGACAGCCUUUUUCUAAGGCCUAUUGGAUGCCAAUUUCCUUUCUGUGGCUGACUUUUGUUUGGAAUACUUUAUUUAUUUGUAUUUAUUUUCUAACCUUUUAUUUAACUAAGCAAGUCAGUUAAGAACAAAUUCUUAUUGACAGUGACGGCCUACCAAAAGGCCUCCUGCGGGGAUGGGGGCUGGGAUUAAAAAUAAAUUUAAAAAAAAUAUAGGAGAAAACACACAUCACGACAGAGUCAUCUGAAAUGAAGUGGUCCUGGAGAGCAGGCAGUGUGCGUUGGGCAGACAGCACCACCCUCUGGAGUGCCCUGCGGUUGCGGGCGGUGCAGUUGCCAUACCAGGAGUGGUCCCGUCGAUGUGGAUAGGGGCGCGCUCCCUCUGCUGUCCCCUGGCUAAAAACUAUCUCCACCCGGCACAGCCAGAAGAGGCCUGGUUCCUCUCUAGGUUUCCUCCUAGGUUCCUGCCUUUCUAGGGAGUUUCUCCUAGCAGAACUUGCUCAGUUCUGCCUUCAGGACAAGACUCAUCCCAAUAAACAUCAACCUAUUGAAGAGGCAUUAGAAGAAGACAAAAAUGUAUAUUACCAAUUGAACGACAUCUAUUGCAGGAUAAAUCAAUGUUGCAUUUUACUUUAUGGGUUGGUUAUGUAGGCUUGUUUUAACCCAUUGCUAUCUACUAUGAUUAGGCAAUAUCUUUGCGUUUCUGUCAGAUUCAGUCAUUCCAAUUAAUUUAAUACCCCUUGAUCUUUAAGAAUAGGAAAUAUGGAACUAUACCUUGAGUGUACAAAACAUUAGGAACACCUUCCUAAUAUUGAGUUUCACCCUCUUUUUCCCUAAAAGCAGCCUAAAUUCGUCAGGGCAGUACUCUACAAGGUGUCGUAAGUUUUCCACAGGGAUGCUGGCCCAUGUUGACUCCAGUGCUUCCCACAGUUGUGUCAAGUUGGCUGGAUGUCCUUUGGGUGGUUGGCCAUUCUUGAUAGAAAUGGGAAACUGUUGAGCAUGAAAAACCCAGCAGUGUUGCAGUUCUUGACACAAACCAGUGCGCCUGGCACCUACUACCAUACCCUGUUUAAUACCACUUACAUAUUUUGUCUUACCCAUUCACACUCUGAACAGCACACAUACACAAUCCAUGUCUCAAUUGUCUCAAGGCUUAAAAAAUCCUUCUUUAACCAGUCUUCUCCCUUCACUACACUGAUUCAAGUGGACAUCAAUACGGGAUCAUAGCUUUCAUCUGGAUUCACCUGGUCAGUCUAUGCCAUGGAAAGAGCAGGUGUUCCUCAUGUUUUGUGCACUCACUAUGGAUUAGCCGAAUUGUUUGACCUGGGCAUAACCAAAAAACUAAGGACAAAUUAGCCUACUCUGUUUUUUGUUUAUUUUUUGGGGGUCACGGAGGGUUGAUUGGGCUCAUUGCUUCGAGUUAAAAAUAAAUUUGCUCUCGGAAUGGCAUGUUUGGAGCACUACCGAAAAGUAAAAAACUAGAUGGUAAAAGCAUGUGGAAAAACUAGAUGGUAAUUUUCCAUGAAGAAAAUAAAAGCCCCACUUGUGGACUUCUGAAAUUGAACUUGUACUUGAUAGUAUGGAGCACAAUACCACGAGGGAGUUUAGAAGGGAGGAACUCAAACUUGUAUUCCAUAGGCUGGGAUCCACGCCAUGCAGCUGUUGAAAUACCGCGUUUGUCACUGGCUGGCCACUGGGGCGUAUUCAUUACUCCGUCUCUGCAAAACAUUUCUUAAACGGAAGCAAACGGAACGAAAACAGAGACCUUGUCACGUCCUGACCGGUAAUAGGGGUUAUUUGUUAUUGUAGUUUGGUCAGGACGUGGCAGACGGUAUUUGUUUUAUGUGGUUCGGGGUGGUUGG